rnacentral:misc_RNA from 1 species
GUGAAUCAUCAAAUUUUUGAACGCAAAUUGCACUCUCCGGUUUUCCGGGAGAGUAUGCCUGUUUGAGGGUCAGCCUAAAAAAAAUCGACAUUGUUGCUGUUUUAUGGUGACUUUCGUCGGAGAUGGGUUAUCUUAAAUCUCGGUUUAAGCGACUUAAAAAUUUUUUUUAGGUUCUAAGGAUUGUUUUAAGGAUUUUUCUUGUACGUUAAAGUU